GCUCCGCGCUGGUGCACUCCGCCGGGGCCCAGGCCCAGCAUCGGCUCUCCCAGGCGCAUAAAGGCGGCGGGAACGUAGCUCCCCAGGGAGUGUUAUAGCCCGCCGCGGAAUACGCCCGGGGGGGCCGAGGUACGCGCUCCGCAAGGAUGCUGGCGUAAUGGUCUCCAGCGGCCCGUCUUGAAACACGGACCAAGGAGUCAAGCAUUAGGGCGAGUGUUUGGGUGUCAAACCCGCACGCGUAAUGAAAGUGAAUGCUGGUGAGAGCUUCGGCGCAUCAUCGACCGAUCCUGAUGUUCUCGGAUGGAUUUGAGUAGGAGCCUUAACGCUUGGACCCGAAAGUUGAUGAACUAUGCCUGUAUAGGGUGAAGCCAGAGGAAACUCUGGUGGAGGCUCGCAGCGGUUCUGACGUGCAAAUCGAUCGUCAAAUAUGGGCAUGGGGGCGAAAGUAAGUCCACAGCUACGUCUACAGCGGAGAACACAGCUAACAACCCGCCUCUUAGGACUAAUCGAAUCAACUAGUAGCUGGUUACCGCCGAAGUUUCCCUCAGGAUAGCAGUGUUGUUUUCAGUUUUAUGAGGUAAAGCGAAUGAUUAGGGACUCGGGGGCGCUAUUUAGCCUUCAUCCAUUCUCAAACUUUAAAUAUGUAAGAAGCCCUUGUUUCUUCACUGAACGUGGGCCUUCGAAUGUAUCAACACUAGUGGGCCAUUUUUGGUAAGCAGAACUGGCGAUGCGGGAUGAACCGAACGCGGGUUUACGGUGCCGGAGUGGACGCUCAUCAGACACCACAAAAGGCGUUAGCACAUCUAGACAGUCGGACGGUGGCCAUGGAAGUCGGAAUCCGCUAAGGACUGUGUAACAACUCACCGACCGAAUGUGCUAGCCCUGAAAAUGGAUGGCGCUCAAGCGUCCCACCUAUAACCCGCCCUUGGGGUAGAACCGAUGCCCCAAGGAGUAGGCGGCCGUGGAGAUUUGUGACGAAGCCU
rnacentral:rRNA from 1 species